GGCUGACUUCCCGGGGAAAUACUGAGGAAACACUUCCCUUAGGGUCAUAAUGGGAGAUGUGGUUCACGAGUGGGGUCAUCAUUAGAGACAUAUCACCACAGGUAUUUAUAAAUCUUUUUAAAAUUUUUCAUGGUCUUAUAAGAGCUAUAUCUUUCCUUGUGAGCCUUUUUUGGAAGUUAGGAAAUAUGAAUAAUACACAAACAAUGCUUUAUUCUUGUCUAGGGCUCAACAAUUUACCACCACCCUCACUAUGCUACCUUACCUGGCCUUCACAACACUGUGUAAACAGGUAGAUUAACUUUGUCCCAUUUUUACAGACACAGAGACUGAGGACUGAAGAUUAGUGAUCUUCCCAAGCAAGCCCAGCUAUGAUGAUAGUGACACGGGCACUAGUCCUUGAGCAAAAUUACCAGAAUCCAAACUGGCUCUGCCACCUCCUGGCUGUGGGCCUGGGAUCUUUCCUACGUCUCUGUUUCUUCAUUUGUAAAAUGAGGCUGAUGGUAGUAACAGUGUCUACCUCUCCGGGUUGCCAAGAGAAUUACAUGAAUGAAGGCCUCAAAGUAAUACUUGAUAAGAACUCAAAAAGAAACCUCUCCGUGAAAAGCUGUAGAUGAUGAGCUCAGGACUCUGUGCCUUUGUCCUUUCCCGUGUUGAGGUGUGGAAUUGGUCCCUUUCCAAGGGCAUGUGAUAAACUGACUCACACCAAGGCAGUAAUAAGGGAGGCCAAUCUCCCCCUGGGGCCUUCGACUUUUAGUGGAGUAUUAAAACUUAAUUUAAACUGAUGAAUUGUAAUGGUGAGAUUUCAAGCCCUUCCAUGGGACAAUGGGAAGAUAUAUUUCUUUUUAAAUAAAGGGCUUUCUUCUGAAAUCAGACCACGCCCUUUCAAUGACUGACACAAACUGCUGGAGAGACGCAAAGGAUGAAGCAGUUAAUCCCACCACCUCUAGCUCAGGAUGAGAGAGCAACUCACACAUCCCUCUUAGAAGACCAAACUCUGGCCGGUUUUCUGCAUGCCUGGUGCUCCUUGCAGAAACAGAGCCUUCCUGCCUACCUCUGGAAUCCUGGGGCCUCAGGUGGUGCCCAGUCCACAGUAGGAACACAAUAGGAGAUGAGUGAGUAGGGGAGAAGUGAGCAGUUGGAUAUGGCAAGUUAGAAACAGUCCAGCCUCCAGUGGGGCACUCUGCUUACCUACACUUAGGUAAACCCAAAUCCUCAAAGCUCACAAGGCCUUGAAAACUCCCAAUUCCAUGAAUCCUGAUUACAAACAACCCCGAGGAACCAUUUAGCUCCCCGAAGACCAACAGAAUCUGUGUACAAUGUGGGAGGAGAGAAACUCCGGAGCGUGGCCCAGGAAGACAGGUGGCAACCCUAGAAAUGCUGCAAUGCCUGUUGAAGCCCCUUCCCCCUGAACUGGCCGACAAUUUUCCUUCCAUAUACAUUAAA
rnacentral:lncRNA from 1 species